CUUUGAAUCAAACAAAAUCUAAAUCUGAAUCUUUAUGAAGAAUGCUUUAGGCUGGGCACAGUGACUCACUCCUGUAAUCCUAGCACUUUGGGAGGCCAGGGCAGGAGGAUCACUUGAGCCCAGGAGUUUGAGACUAGCCUGGGCAACAUGGCAAGAUCCCAUCCCUAUUUAAAACAAACAAAAAAGAUUGUUUAUUGUUUUCUAAUUUUUUGAAAAUUGGAUAUCCAACAAUGUCAGGAUAUCUGGUGGCAACUCUUCCAACAAUAUCUGAUUUCUCACACUAUCCAGAAUAAAUUCUUUUCUAUCCUAACUGUUCUUCAGCCUUUAUUGGUCUGCUUCACUGUUCUCUAAAAAAUAUAUUUGGACAUUAACCAUAAAAUCAACUAAAAACAGAUACAAAAUGGCCUAAGAGGCUGGGUGCAGUGGUUUACGCCUAUAAUCCCAGCACUUUGGGAGGCUAAGGCAGGAGGAUUGCUUGAGCCCAGGAGUUCAAGACCAGCCUGAGCAACACAGCGAGACCCCAUCUCUAUUAAAUAAUUUUAAAAAAAGAAAGAAAUGGCCUCAGAAACAUUUCAAGAAAGCAUACUAAAUGACAGAAAUUCUACUUAAUAUUUUAUAACAUGUUCAACUAAUGAUAAAUAAUUUUGUGAACUCUGGAAACAGAAAAGGAACAAUGUCAUGGAAGAGAAAAAUUUCUGCAAUAGGAAAACUCUUCAUUAGUGAAAAUGAUACCAAUAAAAGAACAAAAUAAUCUGGGCAUGGUAGUUCACACCUGUAAUCUUAGCACUCAGAAAGGCAGAGGCAGGAGAACAGCUUGAGCCCAGGAAUUCAAGACCAGACUGGGCAACAUAGCGAGACCCCAUUCUUCAUACAAAAGAAAAAAAAGAACAAAAUAAGACACUAAUAGCCACAAUACAAAAAUCAUCUUUAAAUCCCUAGUCACAAGGUUGAGCUGUUCGUUAACUAUGAUAAUAACCAAUAAGUUUCAUUUGAGAGCUGAGUACCCCAAAAUGAAGUGUGAUGGUGGUGGAGUUAAAGGAAAAUGUUCACCAGUUAAUAAGCCUUCUAGUUUUUCAUUAGUUAUUCAUAUUUAAAAAUUCCAGCCUGGUCAAUAUGGUGAAACCCUGUCUCUACUAAAAAUACAAAAAUUAACCGGGCGUGGUGGCGCACACCUAUAGUCCUAGCUACUCAGGAGGCUGAGGCAGAAGAACUGCUUGAACCUGGGAAUCGCGACACUGCACUCCAGCCUGGGCAACAGAGUGAGAUGCUGUCUCAAAAAAUAAAAAAAUAAAAAUUAAUCUACUUUCUACUCAUUAUAUAUAAACUCCUAUGUUUUUGCUAUAUAUUUUUUCUUUUUCUUUUUUUUUUUUUUUGAGACAUGGUCUCAUCCUGUUGCACAGGCUGGAGUGCAGCAGCACAGUCUUGGCUCACUGAUGAUCCUGGAACAAUAUAUUGCUACAAAAGGUAAGGAAGUGCUCGUCAAGACAAUGAUGGAAAUAUGUCAAAAGGACACUGGCCAAGUCUAGGACAAUUUGACCAUCAAAAUAAAUAAUGACAGUAACACACUGUAACCCCCUGAGAAAGUAAUCUGUGAAAUACCAAUUUAAAAAAAAAAUGGAGGAGAAGGAAAAGCUCUACAGUAUAUUGCUGACCAGUAAAUCUAGAAGGAAUGAUGGAAUUUGUUUUUUUUUAAAAAAAAAAAAAAGGGAAGGGGAAAAAAACACCAUUGGCAAACCUCAUCGUAGUAACUGAUUUGAGCAAGAAUCAUCAAGGGAUGCUGCAACCAGUAAGGCAAAAUUUGGUGACAUGGCCAAACAUGGUGACUCAUUCUUAUAAUCCAAGCAUUUUGGGAGGCUGAGGCAGGGGGAUUGUUUCAUCCCAGGAGUUCGAGACCAGCCCGGGCAACAAAGCUAGACCCCGUCUCUACAAAUAUUAAACCAUCAGUCGGGCAUGGUGAUACAUGCUUGUAGUCCUAGCUACUUGGGAGGCUGAGGCAGGAUUGCUUGAGCUCAAGAGUUUGAGGUUGCAGUGAGCUAUCACCAUACCACUGUGUUUCAGCCUGAGUGAUAGAGUGAGAUCCUGUCUCAAAUAAAGAAAAAAAAAAAUCACCAUUUGGCAAACCUCACAUUAGUAACUGAUCUGGGCAAGAAUCAUCAAUGGAUGCUGCAACCAGUAAGGCAAAAUUUGGUGACAAAGAAAUUGUCUGCAUCAUCUUAAAGUAUCUGCCCACAACACUUAUUAAUUACUAGUUAAUUUUUUUGUUUUUUUUUUUUGAGACAGAGUCUCGUUCUGUCGCCAGGCUGCAGUGCAGUGGCACGAUCUUGGCUCAUCGCAACCUCCACCUCCCGGGUUCAAGCGAUUCUCCUGCCUCAGCCUCCCAAGUAGCUGAG
rnacentral:lncRNA from 10 species